rnacentral:lncRNA from 1 species
CUUUGCUGCAAUGCUGCUGCCACUGCCUGCCAUGCUGAGACGCCUGACUCUUGUUCUUUGUCCAUUCUGUGGGUGGAAUACACAACCUUUUGGCUUGAAAACUGGAGUAGAAAAUAAAUGGAAACUGGAAGACUAGCAUCAUGAUUCUGAAAAGAAGAAUAUGUAAAAACUUCUGUUUCUACAUGUCCAAGAAGUCAUGGGAUCUUCCUCCAAUGCAUUGCACAAGAAAGUUUGUUCAUUGAAUGAAGUGUUAAUCUACAGAAGGAAGCUUGUCAGCACUCUACAAAAGCAAUGCAGGUCAAGUCACUCCUUCCCAAGGUAUGUACCCAGCACUUUUAUGCAGGAAAAUUGUGUUGACUCACUUUGUUUAUAUUGCAGAUAAAGUGAGAAAAUAGUAAGUAAGAACAUGAGGAAUUUUAUUUAUUUGCAAAAUGUAGAAAAAUGUGAGAUUGAGAGGAAAAGAAUAACAUCUUGUAAAGACUGAAGAGCUAAACUGCAUUGAAGGUUUGUUGCUAAAGACACAGAGUAAGUAAAAUGACCUUUGAUGGAAUUGUAUCAGCAAAAAUGGAUUAUUUCUUAAGAUGAUCUGAACUGGUAACUGAUUUUUUGGUCCCAAUCAAAAAAUCCCCUUGAAGUUCCUUCUCAGCCCAGCG